rnacentral:lncRNA from 10 species
CUGUGUCACUAAGAGCAAGCCCUAUUCAAUAUUUAAUCCAUCAAUUUUUUAAAAACAAGGGAAUGAGUACCACUGGGUUUCCAAGUUGUGGCAGUUUACUUCUGUCAAAAGAAAAGAAAACAUUCAACUGUCAUCAGAAUUUUUUGCAAGUUAGACUUGAUUUCAGCAUUCCAGGAGGUCCUAGGAGAGAUUCCUCCUGGUUUCUUGUGGGGAUUCAAACCCAACCAGAAAGAGAGGGAUAGAGGCAGACAGGGAGGGAGGGAGAGAGAGAGAGAGAGAAAGAGAGAGAGAAAGAGAGAAAUAUGUUAUAUGUUAUGCCGGUGGUAGUUAGCAAUGUGGUAAUUGUUAUAACCCCCUUUAUAAUUCUGUGUGAUUUCUAACAUUUUUUCAUUGAGCAGAAAUUUUUGUAACCAAAAAAACUGUUAUUUAAAAAUUUAUAUAUUCUUCAAAGUUCACUUAUUAGUUAAAAUUCACGUAUUAUUUCAGAUUCACCUUGCCUUCCAACAAAGACACAUCCCUGGAGAAAUGUUGCUUCUGCUAAUGGAGUGCUAAGCUGAAGGAUGCUGGUAGAAAAAUUCAAAAGAAAACUAUACUUUUAAAAAGAAAAUCUAGAGUGGACAAAGAGAAAUACAAGAGAAGGGAAAGGCUGGACAGCAUUGCUGACGAGGUUGCAGGGUAAAAGUCAACUGGAGUAUAAAGGAGCCAUGAAGAGACCAUCAGACGAACGCUGGGCACCUUAGACAGUAAACACUAGAUAAAUUCCAUAAAUUAGGUAUCUUCAAAGGGGGUUUUAUGCUUGGCCAUAUGGUCUGUGAUGUACAAUUCUUCCUCAUUUCUUUAUGACAGCAUCAGUAACUUUGUAUAUAUGUAUGUAGUUUUCCAAAACACCCCCACCUCCAAAGGAAUUCAGCUGAACAGGAACCUGAAAACUUCCACCUGUAGAAGGAUAUCCCCAGCAGAGUCUUGGGACAGGAAAUAGGAUGGUCUGGGCCGGAAAUGUGAGAAGGUCAGUUGGCUGGAGCCAUAAAGCGUCAGGUAGGGAGAGACAGGAGAUGGGGCCUGAUGGACAAUAAGCAGGAGGCAGGUCUUGGAGGUCCCUAUGUCUUACAGGACUUGUGGACGUUAUCUCAUAGAUUACUUGGAACUACCAAAGAGCCUUAAAUGGGAGUGUCUUAGAUUUGUAACUUAAACUGAGCAUGUGGCUGCAGCUGGAAGACAGAUUGGAGUGGUCAAGAUUGGAGACAGGGAGACUAAUUAGGGUUUUAUUUUGCAACAAACCUCAUCCAGGUGAUGGAUGAGGAUGGUGGAAUAAGGAUCGUGGUAGUGGGGAGAAAGAAACACACAGGUAUGAGAACUCUCCAAAGGAUAGAAUGGGCAAAACGGAGUGAUUGAUUGGACUGAGGUUAGGUGAGGGAAGGGUUUCUGUGAUGUUUCUUAGGUUUCUUGGAAUGGAUACUGUUGACAAAACAAACAAACAAACACACAAAGCAUAUAUAGAGAAGACCCGUUGUGUGAGCCUUUUUAAAUUGUUGCUUAUUUCUUUUGUUGUCUGUAAGGAAGCUAUGAGUUCAGUUUCGAACAUGUUGCAUUUAUAUUAUUUAUGGGACAACCAAGUAGAGAUGUUCAGCUGGUGGUUGGAUACUUGAGUCCAAGGUUUGGGGAGCAUUCUGGGCUAGGGGUAUAGAAAUCAUUAGGAUACAGGCAAAUAAAUGAUACAGAGGGAUGGGUUCACCCCAGAAUAUCAGCACAGUAAGAAGGGUCAUGGGGCAAGCACAGAGCUUUGGAAAGUGAUGUCUGGAGUUAGAGAUAGGACUCUAGGGUUUAGGACUCCAAUGACUGAGUAGAUGUUGACCUGAUUAUUUCAGGCAGGCACCUUUAGCUGCAGUAACUGGGACUCGUUCAAUUUAUCUCAAGAGAAGGGAGGUUUUGUGGAAGGGUCUGGAUCAGACCCGGAGACCUCAGCAAAUGAGGCAGGUCUGGGGGUAUCCAUCUCUCUCCAACCCUAUUUAUUUCUGUAUAUCCUCUUCAUUUUCACAGUAUUGACUUUAUUAUCUCUUCUCUAGGGCCAAUUUCUCCAAAAUUUGGAAGGUCUAUAAACAUCUUAAAACUGUAAGCAAAUUGUUCAUUUAUGCAUUUCUCUGCAAGGGGAGUCUGUAGCUUUUGUAAGAUUCUCAGGGUAAUCUAAGAUACAAAAGAAGCCCAAAACCUCCUCCUUAUCUCUGUCUGUCUCUCUCCAGAAAGAAAGAAGCCUUGGCUUGCCUCAGCCCCACCUUAACCCCACAAUAUCCAUUCACUUCCCGAUCACUUGCAAAUUACAAAAUUCUUUUUAUUUUCCUAGUUCAGAUUUUAAAAUUAGAGGAUAUGAUUGAUCCAGUUUUUUUACAUUAGGCCAAAGUUAAUAGGAUUAUUGCUGUGGAGUCAGGGUUAGCUAGCAAGGGGGUGUGAUGACAGAAUAUAAACCCAGGCUGCCUGAGAAGGAGGUUAGGUAAAGAAGCUUCCCUUGGAAGGGAUGCGGUGCAGACAGGAUGGAAGGUAAAGGCUUGGCCUACGCAGCAUGCCCGUUACCAUUAAAGAGGAGUAGAUUGUGUAUCCCACAUAUUGUGUGAGAUGAUCAAUAGCUGGCUGGUUGCAAUUACCCAAAGAGAUUGGAUUACAGGAUUGAUAUUAAACUGGAAGAUAUCUAAUGGAAUGCUACAGAUUUUGUAGAAGAUCCCAACCUUAUCUUUUCAACAUUUAUGUUAAUUAAAGUUUAUCAAACAUGAAUAUCAAAUUUGAAGCUGGGGGUGACAUAAUAUAUUGGAAGACAGAGCUGAGUCUCAAAACGAUCUUGGCAAGUUGGAACAAGAGAUCAAAACAAACAAGAUUAAAUUUA